AGUGAACGCUGCGGCGUGCUUAACACAUGCAAGUCGAACGAGAACGGAUUAUAGCUUGCUAUAAUUGUCAGCUAAGUGGCGCACGGGUGAGUAAUGUAUAGGUAAUAUGCAUCUUACUAAGGGAUAACAAAUGGAAACGUUUGCUAAUACCUUAUACUCCUUAUUAACAGAAGUUAAUAAGGGAAAGAUUUAUUGGUAAGAGAUUAGCCUGUAUUGUAUCAGUUAGUUGGUGGGGUAAUGGCUUACCAAGACUAUGACACAUAACUGGUUUGAGAGGAUGAUCAGUCACACUGGAACUGAGACACGGUCCAGACUCCUACGGGAGGCAGCAGUGGGGAAUAUUGCACAAUGGACGAAAGUCUGAUGCAGCAACGCCGCGUGGAGGAUGACACAUUUCGGUGCGUAAACUCCUUUUAUAUGAGAAGAUAAUGACGGUAUUAUAUGAAUAAGCACCGGCUAACUCCGUGCCAGCAGCCGCCGUAACAC
rnacentral:rRNA from 1 species